rnacentral:rRNA from 1 species
UACAGAGGUGGCAAGCGUUGUUCGGAAUUACUGGGCGUAAAGGGCGCGUAGGCGGUUUGCCAAGUCCCGUGUGAAAGCCCCCGGCUCAACCGGGGAACGGCGCGGGAAACUAGCAGGCUUGAGUUCGGGAGAGGGAAGCGGAAUUCCGGGUGUAGCGGUGAAAUGCGCAGAUAUCCGGAGGAACACCGGUGGCGAAGGCGGCUUCCUGGACCGACACUGACGCUGAGGCGCGAAAGCUAGGGGAGCAAACGGGAUUAGAUACCCCGGUAGUCCUAGCCCUAAACGAUGAGCACUGGGUGUAGAGGGUAUGAACCCCUUCUGUGCCGAAGCUAACGCAUUAAGUGCUCCGCCUGGGGAGUACGGUCGCAAGGCUGAA